CUCCUCUUCUCUUGAGGGCUGCCCCGCCUUCUCGAGCUGUUAGAACAUGAUCCAGCGGCACACAUCAUCCACACUGUUUCCCUAGAAGUAUCUGCCAUGUACUUCCCGCAUCUAUGCUUUGGUUAUAAAGAUGAACAUGAAAAAGUACAUCUUCCUUUUUGUAAAGAAUGAGGGUAGCAUCAGCUGAGACUUAUGGUAAACUGCAAGUCUUUACUGUAAGAUUCAGACCAGCUGUAUGAAAGUAGAACGUUUAAUUGUAUAAGUAGUCUUCCGUGACAAAUUUCACCUCUGCUCCGGACGCUCUGAACAGGAAGAAAUCCACAUUUGCCUCUAGUAAGGUUACCAAU